ACGAAAUGAGUAGACUUUAUAAUAAAGAGUGGCAACAUUUACAGUACUGUAUUAUGGUUGGCAAGUUUGAAACUGUUUAUAUAGAUAGGUUGGUUCAUGGAUGAGGUGAAAGCAAAGUGCACAUUUUGAUGGGCUCCCAUAGUUACUUUUUUCCGAACCUCUUUUUUCAUGACCAUAAAUCAAAAUGAGUAGGUUUGUAAGCUUAUGUUUCACGGUGAAGUAACAAAGUGUAAGUAGAAGUACGUAGUAAUUUCAUAAAGGCUCGACAAAGUUGGACCUAUUUCGUAGAAUCACUAGGUCGGAGGUAUUCGCAUUGUGACGUUGGCCGCAUCACAACUAGACUAUAAAUUCAGUCAGCAAACCUUUUCUUCUUAACACGCGUUGAUGCGAUCUCGUCGUGUUUCUUUUGCGGUCCGGUCGUUGUGAUUUGAUUUAAAUAUUUUGAAUCACUUAUUGGGCUUCUUUGAUUUGAGAAGUGCCUAAUGAUAGCGUUAAUUGAGUAGUACAGGUUUAAUAGCAGCAGUGUAGUGUGAAUAUAGGUGAAGUUGACCAGAUAAUGUAGGUAUGUUACUGUAGCUAACCUUAGCUGUUUGGUUGUCAUUCGACGCCUAGAUUUGUUGCUAUCUAUAUCUAUCGCAUUCUAGCGACAGAUCGUACAUAGUUGUGUAUUUAAUUAAAAACAAGGUGACGUUGAGUCAUAGCAACUCGCUAGCAAAGGACAUUUUUGAAUUCUGACGUGUCAGUUGACAAAGGUCAAGAUGAUUGCCACGAGAUUAACGUUAGGGUCUUGUUUUUAGCAGCGGUGGUUACGUAAUAUACCUCGGAAGUAUGCUUAUUUCAACUGAACUGGCAUCUCGGUAUUAAUUCUAAGAUGAGUAACAUCGAAAAUGUCAACCAAAAAAUGUUUGCCAAACAAAAGAAGCGUCUUGUGGCGCACUUGUAGGCCCGAUUCAAAAUGGCGAUUAGGGAGAAAUGGAUGUCCUGGGGAUUCAGUGCUGAAAACAGCUGGUGCAGUUAUCUGAAGUCCAAGCUACUGUUUUUUUUCGAAGAUCAGAAAAGAAUCAGGUUGUAUAAGAAGCGUUAUCGAAAGAACAAGUUACAAUUCAAUAACCGUAUGAAAGAUGAACGACGUUCUUAUUUAUGAGGCAGUAUAGUUACGUCAAUGCGUCUAUUUUAUAUUUUUCUUAAAAUGAACAAUACGUUACAAGAAAUUAACUAUAUGAAGCCUUGUGAAUACGAAGCUAAAUAUGCAAGUUACUAGACAAUCUUGUGAAGAAUUGAGACGUCAUAAGAAUAGCCAACUAAAUAUUUGAAUAUAUUAGGGCGGCGGUCUCAGACAGUUUAGCUAACUUUAAGUGGUUUUGCAAGUUGAUCACAUCGGCAAGAAAUACAUUUUAUACCGAAUAAGAAUCAGCAAUAGAAGUUGGGUGAAUAUCAGAUGCAUUUCCACAGUUUUGUUAUUUUAAGCCUAAAAUUAAUAAGUGUAGCUGCUGAUAGUUGAUUACAUAGAAGGACAAUCGUUUUUUUUUUUUAAAUUGAGGGAAGCAAGUUUCAAGACUAAAACCGUGUGAAAAGUUAGGAUGCCUUUGAGAAUAGCCAACAACAAAUUGAAGAAUGGAAGUUGGGUGAUGGUCCCAUUUAUCAGACGUGUUUUAGCAACUUCAAGACGUUUUUGUUUUUACUUGACCUGAAGAACAAGUUCUGAUCAUUGUCUAUUGUCAGAAAAAAAAUCUGUGUAGGUAACAUGUGAAAGAAAAAAGCUACUAAACUUGAACGAUAUGAAACGUGAAGCCUUAUUCAUUUGAAUAGCAAGCGAAGUAUUGGAAGAGAAUUUGGCCUGACGGUGCCUGUAUCAGUCAUUUGACUGACUUCAAGAAUUUAAAAUGCUUUAAACCUAAAAUGACGAAAAGAUGUGCUGCUGAUUAAGGAUCCAAGUGAAGUGGUCGCCUUAAUUGCACGUGCUGUAAUUCACGGAAUCGCAGGCUCAAAUGUGACCUUGCUUGUCACGCCUCAGAUUUUAUAAACUUUUUUGAAAACACAAUUGGCUCUAGUGAAGAAAAGAAGGCUAUUUUUUCCUGAGGGGAAUGGACUGAGUUUGAGUUGAGGGGGGAAGGACUUAGCUAGUAAGCAGUUUGUGAGGAAGGACUAUUUCAGGAUCAGAGGGAGGAACCAGGCCAUGGGCAAACUGGGAGGACCAGCGGGGGAGCCAGGCAGGACCCAGGGGGAUCGAGGGAGGAGCAGAUGGGAGCCAGUCGUGGGACGCAGCCGGGUGUUCAUCGGAGGGAGGGAGCGAGCCAGAUGGCAGGGUAGCGAGCCUUGCAGUGAGCCGAGAGCGGAGCAGUCCUGGGUCGACUGUUGCCCUAAGCCAGCCAGUGGGUCCCAGCAGCAAUGAGGCAGACGGGUUAAAGAGCAAACGCGUAAAAGGGUCAACUAGCUUCACCAGUCACAGGAAAAGUGUUUGGUAAUGGUGUGGUAAAGCGUUUAUUUUCCUGGUCACAACCCUUUCCUGUGUGCUGAGUGUCUGCUGUGAUACGUCCCCCAUGGCCUUCUUGGUAGAGUGGGCUGGUGAGAGGAGGACCGUCUUAAAAGGAUUUCACCCUCCUGCCGCACAGAUGUAGUGCCCCCCGGGGCGGAGGAGUUUCUCCUGUCAUUGAGUUCAAUAGGUCUACCCCCAAGAUGUGGUCUACAUGGGAGUGUGUUGAGUGGGAGGUCUUCUGUACGUCCGUACCACAACGCCCCUUUGGUGCUGAGCAGCUACAUCUGCUGGUUAAAGUGAGCAGUGAGUUUAAAUGCAUGAUCUGAUCACGUGCGGAGUAACUAUUCCCCUAGCUAAAUAUUGAUAUCGAAUUUAAAUUUGCCUUCGUAUUGGUAACUAAGGGAUUAUCCCUGAAUUUGUAUUUAGUCUGGUGUUAUUGGUCCAACUGUAGUGCCUUUGUGGAUGGGGGGGGAGGGACGUUUUCCGAGUUCUUCUUUUCACAGGCUCGGCCCUUAAAGCAAAGCUGACCGUCCAAGGGAGUCCCUCUUUAGUACUACCCACCACAUUAAUCAAAGAGUUGGGGACGUCACGUAAAUGAUAGUUCUAAGGAUGGAUCAAGUGACACCGGCAUUAAAGUGAUGUAGGAAGGUAUUUUGUGCUAGUUUUCUGUAGUGAGUUGCUCACAUUUUAAUAUGUACUACCAUACUUAAGUGUUUUUCUUCCAAUGCAUUUUAACUGGGCAGACAUUUGGGUUCUGGGAGGGUUGUGGGGGGUGUUAAUCCAAAUUUCUUCCUAGAAUUCUUUCACACAGCUUCGUGUAAAGCAGCAUUUAAAGAUCCAAAUGGCUAGCAUUGAGGUUUGGGGAGCAAGGGAUCAACCGGGUGGUCCACAUCUUUCGGGUGUCCGUUUUGCCUUGUGUAGAGAUUCAUCGGUGUCUACAAGGGUGUAGCAAGUGGCGGGCCACGUUUUGGGAAGUCGACUCGUAUUCUCCCAGGGAGUGUGGUAAUGGUCACCUUUAGAUUGACACAUUUUAUGUCAUGGAGUAUAAAGUUGCAUUUGGGGUUUCUGGGGCCAGGGGACUGCUUAAUUGUGACUUUUCCAGAUUAUUAUGUGACCCAACCUUUCAAUGAAAGAACAACUAGAGGUCCACGUCUACCCCCGUGUGUCUAAAGGAGAAACGGUGACGCAGAGGCCAGUGGUAUUUUAAAGUUUUUUUGUGUGGAAAGUUAAUGAUUUGGUAUUUCUCCAAAUUUUGAUAUUUUCUUUGUAUAUUAGCAACUGUUAAUACAAUUUGAUACUGUAAUUGUGGUGUCUUGGUUGGUUACUGUUUGGGUUUGUCUGUGGGUGGGAAUGGUGGAAGGCAUGUUUUCCCUUCUGCAUUUUUCAGUGUGCUGUGUCCUGCGUUUUCAAUACUCAAGACCAACAGGAACACCCCUAACUCAUUGUAUGUAAAGGUUUUCUAUCGCUUCAAAACGCCUCGCAAGGUCUCAAGUAAGGUCACUUACAAAUGUGUUCACAUUUCCCUUUUUAAUAUUUCAUUAACAUUUGGCAACGCAUAAUUGCACUCCCUUUGCAAAUUAGUUAAUGUUUUGUAUUGCAACAGAGCUAUCUGUAAAGGAUUCAUAAUUGGUAAUAAAUGCAUAGCUUAUUGUGAUUGAA